rnacentral:misc_RNA from 1 species
CACUGCAAGAUCUUAAAGAUAAAGUAGAUGGGUUGCUCUUGGGUACUAUGGUCAAGUUUUUCCACAAGCUUGUUUCCCCCAAGCUUCAAAUCCGUCAAAUAUAUGAGAUCAAACAGCCAUGUUGGAAUUUCACCCCGAAGGCAGUUAUCUUCCAAAUCAAGCUCCUCCAACUGUCCCAUCUUUUGCAUUGACGGAGGAAUCUCUCCUACCAAGUCGUUGUCAUUUAGGAGCAAAGAUGAAAUAACUGACAGGUUACCAAUCUCGGAUGGAAUGCUCACGGAGAACAAAUUAGAAUGCAAAUCCAAACGUUUCAACAUUUUCAAAUGGCAUAAUGAUGACGGAACUGCUCCUGUAAAUCUGUUAUUGCCAAGAGACAAUUCACUCAAAUCAGCGAGGUUUCAGCGAGGUUUCCCACCUCUACAGGGAUUUCUCCUUGGAAGAAGUUGGAUCCCAAUGACAAUUUCUCCAAAUUGGUGAGGUUUCCCAUCUGUACAGGGAUCUCUCCAUGAAAGAAGUUGGACUCCAAUGACACAGUCUUCAAAUUGGUGAGGUUUCCCAUCAGUACAAGAAUCUCUCCAUUAAAGAAGUUGGACUCUAAUGACAAAGUCUUCAAAUUUUUAAGAUCACCUAUUCUGCUACCUGAUAUUGACCAAUCAAUCAAAUUUCUACCCAAAUUAAGUAUCUCCAGAUACAUUAAAGAAAAC